UGGGGCGUAGCCAAGUGGUAAGGCAGCGGGUUUUGAUCCCGCCAUCCGCAGGUUCGAAUCCUGCCGCCCCAGCCA
rnacentral:tRNA from 2 species